GCCGAAGUGGUGGAAUUGGUAGACACGCUAGGUUCAGGGUCUAGUGGGCUUAGCCCGUGGGGGUUCGAGUCCCCCCUUCGGCACCA
rnacentral:tRNA from 1 species